CUGGCGGAACGUGCCGGUGACAACGGAGGAAGGUGGGAUGACGUCAAGUCAUCAUGGCCCUUAUGUCCAGGGCUACACACGUGCUACAAUGGGCGAGACAGAGCGACGCGAAGCCGCGAGGUGGAGCAAAUCGCAGAAAAUCGUCCUCAGUUCGGAUUGGAGUCUGAAACCCGACUCCAUGAGGGUGGAAUCGCUAGUAAUCGCGCAUCAGCAUGGCGCGGUGAAUACGUUCCCGGGCCUU
rnacentral:rRNA from 1 species